CACCACCACUUCUCAACCGAUCAAUUAAUCAAACUACAUCAUACGACGCCGUUUCUCCACUUCCCUCCGAUCGUUCACCAAACGUCGUCGUUUUGACAUGCACGUAGUAAUAAAUAAUAAUAAUGAAUAGAUAUUACUAUCUGCAGUAGAAAAUGAGUAAACGAGCUUCGACGAAUAGCAUUUAAGUUCCGGCUAGUUCGACGGUGGUUCUCCGGCGACAGAUGCCGGAACGUGUUGAGUGAGAGAGAAGAGAAAAAGAGAAGAGUGACGCGGCGGCUGAACACUAUUUAAGGAAUGGGACUGCAUUGGAAGGAGGGACCGAUAGGGAAACUUUUUAUGAGGUGUGUGAAAAGACACUUGUGUCCCCGACAUCUUCUAAAUUUUCGGAUUUCUUCCACGUUACACUUUUUAGUUUUUAC
rnacentral:lncRNA from 1 species